UACGUAGGGGGCAAGCGUUGUCCGGAUUUAUUGGGCGUAAAGAGCGUGUAGGCGGCCAGUUAGGUCCGUUGUGAAAACUCGAGGCUCAACCUCGAGACGCCGAUGGAAACCAACUGGCUAGAGUCCGGAAGAGGAGAGUGGAAUUCCGGGUGGAGCGGUGAAAUGCGUAGAGAUCCGGAGGAACACCGACGGCGUAGGCAGCGCCCUGGACGACACCUGACGCUGAGGCACGAAAGCUGGGGGAGCGAACAGG
rnacentral:rRNA from 1 species